UACGUACGAGGCGAGCGUUAUCCGGAAUUACUGGGCGUAAAGCGCACGUAGGCGGCUUUGUAAGUAAGAGGUGAAAGCCUGGUGCUCAACACCAGAACUGCCUUUUAGACUGCAUCGCUUGAAUCAUGGAGAGGUGAGUGGAAUUCCGAGUGUAGAGGUGAAAUUCGUAGAUAUUCGGAAGAACACCAGUGGCGAAGGCGACUCACUGGCCCGAUACUGACGCUGAGGCGCGAAAGCGUGGGGAGCAAACAGG
rnacentral:rRNA from 1 species